UUUGAUUUUCUUCGGAACUGAAGAUUUGGUGAUUGAGUGGCGGACGGGUGAGUAACGCGUGGGUAACCUGCCCUGUACAGGGGGAUAACAGCCAGAAAUGACUGCUAAUACCGCAUAAGACCACAGCACCGCAUGGUGCAGGGGUAAAAACUCCGGUGGUACAGGAUGGACCCGCGUCUGAUUAGCUGGUUGGUGAGGUAACGGCUCACCAAGGCGACGAUCAGUAGCCGGCUUGAGAGAGUGAACGGCCACAUUGGGACUGAGACACGGCCCAAACUCCUACGGGAGGCAGCAGUGGGGAAUAUUGCACAAUGGGGGAAACCCUGAUGCAGCGACGCCGCGUGAGUGAAGAAGUAUCUCGGUAUGUAAAGCUCUAUCAGCAGGGAAGAAAAUGACGGUACCUGACUAAGAAGCCCCGGCUAACUACGUGCCAGCAGCCGCGGUAAUACGUAGGGGGCAAGCGUUAUCCGGAAUUACUGGGUGUAAAGGGUGCGUAGGUGGUAUGGCAAGUCAGAAGUGAAAACCCAGGGCUUAACUCUGGGACUGCUUUUGAAACUGUCAGACUGGAGUACAGGAGAGGUAAGCGGAAUUCCUAGUGUAGCGGUGAAAUGCGUAGAUAUUAGGAGGAACAUCAGUGGCGAAGGCGGCUUACU
rnacentral:rRNA from 1 species